UGCUAAGAGAUGUUCAGUGUUUGGGC
rnacentral:piRNA from 1 species